rnacentral:rRNA from 17 species
CACGGUGUGAUUCAUGACUGGGGUGAAGUCGUAACAAGGUAGCCGUAGGGGAACCUGCGGCUGGAUCACCUCCUUAAU